AUUGAACGCUGGCGGCAGGCCUAACACAUGCAAGUCGAGCGAGCGGCGGACGGGUGAGUGAUGUCUGGGAAACUGCCUGCUGGGGGGGGAUAACUACUGGAAACGGUAGCUAAUACAGCAUACCAUCAGAUGUGCCCAGAUGGGAUUAGCUAGUAGGUGGGGUAACGGCUCACCUAGGCGCCGAGCCCUAGCUGGUCUGAGAGGAUGACCAGCCACACUGGAACUGAGACACGGUCCAGACUCGUACGGGAGGAAGCAGUGGGGAAUAUUGCACAAUGGGCGCAAGCCUGAUGCAGCCAUGCCGCGUGUGUGAAGAAGGCCUUCGGGUUGUAAAGCACUUUCAGCGGGGAGGCGUUACCCGCAGAAGAAGCACCGGCUAACUCCGUGCCAGCAGCCGCGGUAAUAC
rnacentral:rRNA from 1 species